UACAGAGGUCCCAAGCGUUGUUCGGAUUCAUUGGGCGUAAAGGGUGCGUAGGCGGCGCGGUAAGUCGGGUGUGAAAUCUCGGAGCUUAACUCCGAAACUGCAUUCGAUACUGCCGUGCUUGAGGACUGGAGAGGAGACUGGAAUUUACGGUGUAGCGGUGAAAUGCGUAGAUAUCGGGAGGAACACCAGUGGCGAAGGCGACUUCCUGGCCUGUUCUUGACGCUGAGGCGCGAAAGCUAGGGGAGCAAACGGG
rnacentral:rRNA from 1 species